GUGCCAGCCGCCGCGGUAAUACCGGCAGCCCGAGUGAUGGCCGAUCUUAUUGGGCCUAAAGCGUCCGUAGCUGGGUCUGAAAGUCCAUCGGGAAAUCCACUCGCUCAACGAGUGGUCGUCCGGUGGAAACUCCACACCUUGGGACCGGAAGGCUCGAAGGGUACGGCCGGGGUAGGAGUGAAAUCCCAUAACCCCGCACGGACCACCGAUGGCGAAAGCACUUCGAGAAAACGGAUCCGACAGUGAGGGACGAAAGCCAGGGUCUCCAACCGGAUUAGAAACCCUAGUAGUCC
rnacentral:rRNA from 1 species